AACGAACGCUGGCGGCAUGCCUAACACAUGCAAGUCGAACGAGACCUUCGGGUCUAGUGGCGCACGGGUGCGUAACGCGUGGGAAUCUGCCCUUGGGUUCGGAAUAACGUUUGGAAACGAACGCUAAUACCGGAUGAUGUCUUCGGACCAAAGAUUUAUCGCCCAGGGAUGAGCCCGCGUAGGAUUAGCUUGUUGGUGAGAUAAAGGCUCACCAAGGCGACGAUCCUUAGCUGGUCUGAGAGGAUGAUCAGCCACACUGGGACUGAGACACGGCCCAGACUCCUACGGGAGGCAGCAGUGGGGAAUAUUGGACAAUGGGCGAAAGCCUGAUCCGGCAAUGCCGCGUGAGUGACGAAGGCCUUAGGGUUGUAAAGCUCUUUUACCCGGGAUGAUAAUGACAGUACCGGGAGAAUAAGCCCCGGCUAACUCCGUGCCAGCCGCCGCGGUAAGAC
rnacentral:rRNA from 1 species